rnacentral:rRNA from 1 species
UAUGGAUGGGGCGAGCGUUAAUCGGAAUCACUGGGCAUAAAGAGCACGUAGGCGGCAACGUAAGUCAGUGGUGAAAUCCCUCGGCUCAACCGAGGAACUGCCGUUGAUACUGAGUGGCUGGAGUGCGGGAGGGGCAGACGGAAUUCCAGGUGGAGCGGUGAAAUGCGUAGAUAUCUGGAGGACCGCCGGAGGCGAAAGCGGUCUGCGGGCCCGUAAAUGACUUUGAGGUGCGAAAGCUAGGGGAGCAAACAGG